AGCUUACUCUGAUUCCAGCAUUGCCUCACAUUGGAGCAGAGGCCCAGACCUUCUGGGGCACAGAAAGCCACACAGAGUGUCUGUAGUCAAAUGAAAUGCCAGAGAAGGAACACCUAAGUUCAUAGGCUCUCUGCUCAUCAGAGCCACUAGACAAUCUAUGGGGUCCUCCACAAGCAGCAAUUGGUUUUGCAAAGUGUUUUUUUGAGAAUGGUAACAGGAUUUUCUACAGUGCCAAGUGAGUGAAGGGGGGACAGGAAAAAGUAACAGCUUUGGCUGUUGAUACAAAUGUUGAAUCAAAGAGAUCUCCGGGCAUCUAGUGGUUCACCGGGAAAACUGCAUCUGCAAGCCAGAGGCUCGGGGAUGAACUGAGAGCAGGGAGAAGGGGAUGAGGAAUGCUGCAGGGGAAUGCUGCCACCUGUUCCGAGCCCGGCCAGCCCUUGGGACUCAGGCACACAAGUUCAGUGUCUCUGCAUGCAUCGCUGCCCAACCCUCAUUGUCACCAUUAGAUGACGCUGAUAGGAACCAGGCAGGCUGGGGAAUGCAGGGAUGUGAUUGUUUGCUCUCUUCAUCCAUUCACAAACAGUGAUAAAUCAGAUCUUUCCUAAUGGAGCAGCAAAAAUGAGGACUACCCUUGUGAUUAAUGGAAUACAAAGCCAAGAAUAGGAUACAAAGAAAUGCCUCCAUUUUCCUUGUAUUAAUGGCGCAUAUUAAAAAUUGAGUGUUUACAAUAUGGAAAUGCUGCUCACUCCUACAAGAACUGUCCCUCUCAGUACAGCAGCACAGGAGAUUAGGUGCAGCUAUCACAGUCACACACAUAUCAUUUAAAUCCUUAUUUUUAUCCAUAUAAGUGUAAAUACCUUGGCUAACCGUGAUAAUUUUGCAGGCUAUUAUUCACUUUUUUAAGGGUAAUGUUUGGCCUAGAGCUAGACUACAAGGGGCUUCUUUCUAAAUUCUGCAUCUUGCAGGCAACAGUUAAAAUUUAAAUUUCCAGAGAGCUCGGCUGAGAUCAGAGCUUUGUGCCAAGCAUUGAGUAAAUAUAAGAAAGAGAGCCCUGAGUACAAAUUAAAAUUCUGACAGAAACUGAGGUGAAAGGAAAGGCAGUUCAUGUGUAGAAACAGACAUUUUAGUGCAAGGAAAUAGAACAGAGAUGAGCAGGGAGGACAAGUAAAUGGAAACCAAUUGUCACUUCUAUGUCCAUCAUCCUAAGAUCUCCCCCCAGCCUUGAAGUGUUGCCUUAUGUUUUAAUGUAGUACAAAAUAAAGCACAUGCUCUCUGAUUUCAAUGCCACAACUGAGAAAGCAACAAGUACAUUUCUCCCUUGAUUGUAAAUUAGAUCUCUACACUAUAAGAAGUGAAAAGCAUUUUAUUCGAGUUGUAACUUCACAGUGUGAAAUUAGAAAGUGCCAAAAUAGUUGAGGUACGCAGAAUCUUGGUUCACUCCUCUUGUGUCUCUAUUACACCACACUUCAGUUUCUUGAUUAUAUGCUA